rnacentral:rRNA from 1 species
GACGAACGCUGGCGGCGUGCUUAACACAUGCAAGUCGAACGGAAAGGCCUGCUUUCCCUUGUGGUUUGCGGGUACUCGAGUGGCGAACGGGUGAGUAACACGUGAGUGAUCUGCCCCCAACUUGGGUAUAAGCCUGGGAAACUGGGUCUAAUUCCCGAUAGGACUGCAGGGUGGUGCCUGUGGUGGAAAACGAUCUUCUAGUGGUUGGGGAUGAGCUCGCGGCCUAUCAGCUUGUUGGUGGGGUAAUGGCCUACCAAGGCGGCGACGGGUAGCCGGCCUGAGAGGGUGGACGGCCACAUUGGGACUGAGAUACGGCCCAGACUCCUACGGGAGGCAGCAGUGGGGAAUAUUGCACAAUGGGCGGAAGCCUGAUGCAGCGACGCCGCGUGGGGGAUGACGGCCUUCGGGUUGUAAACUCCUUUCGACCGCGAGGAAGCCACCUGGUUGGAAGGGUGGUGACGGUAGUGGUAGAAGAAGCACCGGCUAACUACGUG